CCUACGGGAGGCAGCAGUGGGGAAUAUUGCGCAAUGGGCGAAAGCCUGACGCAGCGACGCCGCGUGAGGGAUGAAGGUCUUCGGAUCGUAAACCUCUGUCAGCAGGGAAGAACGGUCACUGUGCUAAUCAGCAGUGAAUUGACGGUACCUGCAAAGGAAGCACCGGCUAACUCCGUGCCAGCAGCAGCGGUAAUACGGAGGGUGCGAGCGUUAAUCGGAAUUACUGGGCGUAAAGCGCUCGUAGGCGGUAUGUCAAGUCAAGGGUGAAAUCCCCGCGCUCAACGUGGGAACUGCCUUUGAAACUGGCAGACUGGAGUGGGUGAGAGGAUAGUGGAAUUCCAGGUGUAGGAGUGAAAUCCGUAGAUAUCUGGAGGAACAUCAGUGGCGAAGGCGACUAUCUGGCACAUAACUGACGCUGAGGAGCGAAAGCGUGGGUAGCAAACAGGAUUAGAUACCCGUGUAGUC
rnacentral:rRNA from 1 species